rnacentral:lncRNA from 10 species
AUCUACCAUGAAAGACUUGUGAAUCCAGGAAGAGAGACUGACUGGGCAACAUGUUAUUCAGGGUCUCCCUCUGUUGUCCAAGGCUGGAGUGUAGUAGUGCUAUCGCAGCUGACUGCAGCCUCAACCUUCCAGGCUGAAGCGAUCCUCCCACCUCAACCUCCCACGUGGCUGAGACUACAGGUGCUUGCCACUAUGCCCAACUAACAUUUGGAAUUUUCGUAUACGUGGAUUCUAGAGGGGUGACAGCGAAACGUGGGACCAUCCAGUUGCAGGAAAACAAGCUUGACACGCCCACUAAUUCUACAUUAUGCUCCUACCUCCCGGCAGCCUCUCCAGGCCCUGAACUUUCUCAAGUCGACCUCACCAGGCCCAGCUCAU